AUUGAACGCUGGCGGCAGGCCUAACACAUGCAAGUCGAACGCGUGGCGGACGGGUGAAUAAUGUCUGGGAAACUGCCUGAUGGAGGGAGAUAACUACUGGAAACGGUAGCUAAUACCUCAUACCAUGCGGUUUGCACAGAUGGGAUUAGCUAGUAGGUGGGGUAAAGGCCCACCUAGGCGAAGAUCCCUAGCUGGUCUGAGAGGAUGAACAGCCACACUGGAACUGAGACCCGGUCCAGACUCCUACGGGUGGCAGCAGUGGGGAAUAUUGCACAAGGGGCGCAAGCCUGAUGCAGCCAUGCCGCGUGUAUGAAGAAGGCCUUCGGGUUGUAAAGUACUUUCAGCGGUGAGGCGUUACCCGCAGAAGAAGCACCGGCUAACUCCGUGCCAGCAGCCGCGGUAAUUC
rnacentral:rRNA from 1 species